AUGGCAAGUUCGAACGCACCGCAAGGUGAGUGGCAGACGGGUGAGUAACGCGUGGGAACCUACCCUUUACUACGGAACAACUGAGGGAAACUUCAGCUAAUACCGUAUACGCCCUACGGGGGAAAGAUUUAUCGGUAAAGGAUGGGCCCGCGUUGGAUUAGCUAGUUGGUGGGGUAAUGGCCUACCAAGGCGACGAUCCAUAGCUGGUCUGAGAGGAUGAUCAGCCACACUGGGACUGAGACACGGCCCAGACUCCUACGGGAGGCAGCAGUGGGGAAUAUUGGACAAUGGGGGAAACCCUGAUCCAGCCAUGCCGCGUGAGUGAUGAAGGCCUUAGGGUUGUAAAGCUCUUUCAGUGGGGAAGAUAAUGACGGUACCCACAGAAGAAGCCCCGGCUAACUUCGUGCCAGCAGCCGCGGUAAUACGAAGGGGGCUAGCGUUGUUCGGAUUUACUGGGCGUAAAGCGCACGUAGGCGGAUUGUUAAGUCAGAGGUGAAAUCCUGGAGCUCAACUCCAGAACUGCCUUUGAUACUGGCAAUCUCGAGUCCGAGAGAGGUGAGUGGAACUCCUAGUGUAGAGGUGGAAUUCGUAGAUAUUAGGAAGAACACCAGUGGCGAAGGCGGCUCACUGGCUCGGUACUGACGCUGUGGUGCGAAAGCGUGGGGGAGCAAACAGGAUUAGAUACCCUGGUAGUCCACGCCGUAAACUAUGAGAGCUAGCCGUUGGAUGGUUUACCAUUUCAUGGCGCAGCUAACGCAUUUA
rnacentral:rRNA from 1 species